CUCAAAUAAUUCAAUUAAAGUUUUGUGGUAAAAAAUUAAUUGCGCCCUACUUGUUGGUACUCCACCUAACAAACGUUGUGAGUUGCAAUGCAGUUCAAAAGAAGUGUUUCAAUGUUGACUUUUUCCCAAUCAUCUUUAUCUUGGCUCUUGCCAUUCAAAGUCAACAUCUAUUACUACCUAAAUCUAAUUCUAUAUGUAAGUUAUUUCCCGACUAAACCAAAUGUGUCAUUAAUAAUGACAAAUGACAUAAUUCUAAACAACUUUCCAAUUGUCUAAAUAAGACGCAUCUAUACAAUUUAUAAUAAGUCUUAGGUCUACCUACAUAUAUACCUAAAGCCUAUAUAUGCAAUAAUGGUUUUGUGUAGCAUGCAUUCAUCAUAUAACAACAUUUAAUCUUUCUUAAAGUUAUCUAGAAUUGUCAUGCGACCAAUAACUACACACAACAAUCUAAAGCACAUGUUUUGGCCACUUUAUAAGCUUAAGCCAUAUCAUUUUUUUGGUUCACUUGGAGUCUAUGUCAAAAACAUAAAAAUCUCAAUUCAGUAAAUGUAUCCAUAUGAACAUGACAUUCAACAACCAUUAUGCUAUGCUGCUUGUCAUUACUCAAUCUUAAGGUUUCACACGAACAAGUCAAUUUGUCAAAUAAUGAUAUGGAUUUCUGACAUAGUUUAAGGCAAAUGAGAACUUAUGAGAUGAAGUAUGAUCCUUAUAGUAAGUUGCAAUGGGUUGACUUUUGUAGUACUGUUUUUAACAAGACAUAUAUGAAUUUGUGCUCAUGGAGGCUAGAGAAAUUUUUGCAAAGCAAGAAGAUCAUUGAAAGGGUUACAGUCAAGCUUGGUGUUACUAAUGCCAUUGAAAACAAAGCCAUUUACAUUCGAGUGAAUCAUACUUUAAGAUUGCAAACAACUUUGGCUGCAGCUGCUGCCAACUCCACACUCAAACCUAUAUAUAAUUUUGAAGAGUACUUUGCUUAGUCUUAGUCACAACUUGAGGGAAUGCUUUAAUAUAGUGUUUUCUUGCUUCAGUGCUUGAACUUUAAAGCUUAGUGUAAAUUAAGCUUAAUUUUUAAUUAAGACUAUUGUUUUGUGAUUAAGUUUUUGUAAAUGUGACUCUAAAUCUAUUGUAGUCUUCAACUUACAUCUAAG